CUGAGACCCUCCCAGGAUUUCCCAAAAUUGUCCUUUAAAACCCCAGGCGAAAUCAUCCUGUGCGAUCACGUGCCUGGCGCUUGCCUCCUGGGUUGGCCACAGCUGCUCUGCAGGUUUCCAGGGCUUGGCCCUCGGUCAGGGUUUGAAGGUCCCUGUGUCGGGCAAGUCCCGUCUGCUUUUUUGUUGGGGCUGCAAGGAACAAAGGAGGAACCCUCCCGGCGUGAGGUUGUUUACAAAGAUCUUUCGAUCCCACUUUCUCUCGUGAGCCUCUCCCGGGCUGGGAGUGAGGCUUUAGCUCCCCAUUCUACAGAUGAGAAAGCCAAGGCUGCCAGGGCUUUCUGCUGACUUCCUUGACAUGCGUUCAGUUAGAAAACGGCACGGAGAAGGACACAGACGUGACUCAUAAUCCCACCUUCCAAAGUUGACCACGAUUUCUCUGCUGGUUGCUGGUGGGACAGCUACCACAGCAUGGUGUGUCAAGCGGUGCCAUAUCCACACCUGGGAUCCGAAUCGGCGAACCCUGGCCUGCCAAGAAGCGGAACGUGCAAACUUAACUGCUGCGCCACUGGGCCGGCCCCUUGUGUUCCAUAUAAUUUUGAAAAGAAUCUGUAUUUCAAAUUGUUGGCUGGUCCUUCAGAAGUUUCUCCAAGGAGCCCAUGAUGCAGCAAGCAGAAUCGUGCGGCCAUACCCCUGCAAACUCACUGAAGGUCACCUGGAGACUGAGUCAGCGGAAACUAUCUCGCCCUCGCCCACCUGCCUUCUGCUCGCGGGAGGGGCUUCCCGCCCAGCACACCCAUGGUCCCAGGCCACAACACUGCCAUCUCUGGGGCUGUCGGCAGCCUUCUUCGGGUCCCCUGUCUUUGCAGAAAUGUGCUCCAAGCUGGGACUUAAGCUGAACAGACUUCCUAUAGGAAACACACUCCAUCACACUGCUGCUCAGGUUGCUUUUAUGGACAUUUCCCCAAGAAAUAUUUCUCUCUGGAAAAAUAAAUUCACAGGAUGUAAUUAAAACCACGCUCUGUGUGUGUUGGCCUGGGCUCUUGGUAACUGCUUCACCAAAUGGGCCGGCGAAUGAAGAAAUGAAGGCAGCUUUGUUCUCGUCUGUUAACAAUGCCCUUUAUUAGUUGUGACCC
rnacentral:lncRNA from 1 species